rnacentral:rRNA from 1 species
AGCGAACGCUGGCGGCAUGCUUAACACAUGCAAGCCGAGCGAGAACCAGGGCUUCGGCCCUGGGGAAAGCGGCGAACGGGUGAGUAACACGUGGGUAACCUGCCCUCGGCACCGGGAUAGCCCGGGGAAACUCGGAUUAAUACCGGACAGCCUCAUGAGCCCUCGGGCCAAUGAGAAAAGGUGGCUUCGGCUUCCGGCUGAGGAUGGGCCCGCGGCCGAUUAGCUUGUUGGUGGGGUAAUGGCUCACCAAGGCUCCGAUCGGUAGCUGGUCUGAGAGGACGAUCAGCCACACUGGGACUGGGACACGGCCCAGACUCCUACGGGAGGCAGCAGUGGGGAAUCUUGCGCAAUGGGCGAAAGCCUGACGCAGCGACGCCGCGUGCGGGAAGAAGGCCUUCGGGUUGUAAACCGCUUUCAGGAGGGACGAGGCCACUCGGGUUAAUAGCCUAGAGGGUGACGGUACCUCCAAAAGAAGCCCCGGCUAACUACGUGCCAGCCGCCGCCGUAAUAC